GUCGAGAAUCUUUCACAAUGGGGGCAACCCUGAUGGAGCGACGCCGCGUGGAGGAUAAGGUCUUCGGAUUGUAAACUCCUGUCAUGCGUGAACAAGGUUGCUUGGAUAAUACCUGAGCAAAUUGAUGGUAGCGCAAGAGGAAGAGACGGCUAACGCUGUGCCAGCAGCCGCGGUAAUACAGAGGUCUCAAGCGUUGUUCGGAAUAACUGGGCGUAAAGGGUGCGUAGGUGGGGUGGCAAGUCAGAUGUGAGAGCCCGGGGCUCAACCUCGGAACUGCAUCCGAUACUGCCAUGCUAGAGUACUGGAGGGGUGACUAGAAUUCUCGGUGUAGCAGUGAAAUGCGUAGAUAUCGAGAGGAAUACCAAAGGCGUAGGCAGGUCACUGGACAGUUACUGACACUGAGGCACGAAGGCCAGGGGAGCGAACGGGAUUAGAAACCCGGGUAGUCC
rnacentral:rRNA from 1 species